rnacentral:sRNA from 1 species
GUUAGGAAAGAGUUUCCAAUUACUGAGGCAGUAGGAUCUGAUAAGACAAAUAGGCAUCCCUUAGAAUGCUUACCUGGUUUAAUUCAGGAUAAGGAAUGGAAUGAGGAGGAGUUACAGAAACUUCAUUGUGCUUUUGCAUCUCUUCCAAAGCACAAACCUGGUUUCUGGUCAGAUGUAGCUGCGGCUGUAGGUUCUCGAUCUGCUGAAGAAUGCCAGAGGAAAUACAUGGAAAAUCCCAGAGGAAAAGGAUCACAGAAACAUGUCACUAAGAAGAAGCCAGCCAAUUCCAAAGGCCAAAAUGGCAAGAGAGGUGAUGCUGAUCAGAAACAAACUAUUAAGAUAACUGCCAAAGUGGGAACUCUUAAAAGGAAGCAACAGAUGAGGGAAUUUCUGGAACAGUUGCCAAAAGAUGACCAUGAUGAUUUUUUCAGUACAACACCUUUACAGCAUCAAAGAAUACUGUUGCCAAGUUUCCAGGACAGUGAAGAUGAUGAUGAUGAUAUUCUGCCAAAUAUGGACAAAAAUCCAACAACUCCAUCAUCAGUUAUCUUUCCAUUGGUAAAAACUCCUCAAUGUCAGCAUGUCAGUCCUGGCAUGCUAGCUUCUAUAAAUAGGUAAAUAUUCAUGCAUAUGAUAUGUUAAUUCUCUGCAUCAGAGUAGUGAGGAACAUUUAAACAUUUCAUGAGGACCAUAGAUGCCAGUAAUGGGAAGAGUCAUUAUUUUAAAAAUCAAGAAUGUAUAGUUUCUAGAAGUUAAGGAUGGAGAAGCUCAUCAAAUCGGGGUGCUAUUCAAUAAAUAGCAUUGUGAUAUAACCCACAUUUACUUCUGGAUCAAUUCGAAACGGAUCAAGGUUUUACUUGUAAAAAACUAAAAA